rnacentral:rRNA from 1 species
GACGGAGGGUGCUAGCGUUGUUCGGAAUCACUGGGCGUAAAGCGCACGUAGGCGGCUUUUUAAGUCAGGGGUGAAAUCCUGGAGCUCAACUCCAGAACUGCCUUUGAUACUGAGAAGCUUGAGUCCGGGAGAGGUGAGUGGAACUGCGAGUGUAGAGGUGAAAUUCGUAGAUAUUCGCAAGAACACCAGUGGCGAAGGCGGCUCACUGGCCCGGUACUGACGCUGAGGUGCGAAAGCGUGGGGAGCAAACAGG